ACGCAUGAUGCAAUUUUUGUUAUCAGAAGAGUGUGCACGUAAUAUAUGCGCUAGGGUUGCGCCGAUAGACAAGAAUAUCAUCUAUCGACGAUAUGCAUACAUAUGGCCAAUAGCGGGCCUUCAUGACGAUACUUACCAUGUUUGCCCAUUAUAGUUUUAAAUUAUUAUCAUUAUCAUUACACUUUUAAAUUUAACAUGCAAAUUGUCCUCACAUGAGCUUGUGAGCUUGUAACGUGUGUGGCACGGACUCCUUUUUGCACCUGAACUUGUAAUGUGUGCGUCUUGGACUCGCACCUAAGCUUGUAAUACGCAUGGCUCUGACAUGUCCGUGCACUAGAGAAGUUUUUAUGCACACAGGGUUUUAAAACCAGUGAGUGUGUUGUUCCCGCUUCCUGGCAUGCAGGAAAUUUCAAAGUGGCUGGGCAUCAAUGACGCGCUCCGAUUAAUGAGUAUAAGUUAAUAAGACAAAUAGGUAAAUGAGUAUCGUGAUUCGAUCGUGAUACGUGGAUCUCAUAGGCUGACGAUAGGACGAUCCCACUAUGCUGCAUAUCAUGCAACAUUAGUAUUAUGCGCACCACCAGAUUUUUGAAACCUCACGCACAUUGUACGCGUAACUGGUGCAUAGGCGUACAGCUGUAUGUAGUGUGUAGACCAGGAGAGGUAUUGCCAUUUGUCGCAAUUCACAGUAUGAAUUUAUACAAAUUAGCCAACUCGUAAAUUACAUACGAAUUAUUGUGAGAUCAGGCUGUGAAAGCUCAUUCAUAUCUGAGCUAUAGCUAGUUAGUAAAGUCUUUGUGUGUUCACCUGCUUGGUGUUUUGACCAUUGCCCUUUUAAGAUCAAAUCUGUGAAGCAUACUAGGUGUUGACGGCUUUAAACUGUUUUAGAUGUUGUUGACUUAAAACACCGUCAUUCUCUGUUGAACACACAGCUUGUUUGUUGCGGAGACCUAAUGUGUGGUGUGUUUGUUUAUCUGGUGCUGAACGUAUUACAUACUUAAUUAUUCUCUUUCAGCAUCCUAACUGCUGAUUUAUUUGUUAUUAAAGAGAAGCAGCUGAUGUAAUGUUUAGUGGCACAAGUUAACCUACACUGUAAACUGGAGAACUGGGUCAAGUUUGUUUACAUAGGCUUGUUAUGUUCAGUCAUGGAGAACGCUGUGAUUGUGCAAUGCUUGUUGACCAUAGUCUGUCAACAGUUAAACCCUGCUUUCAUACUAUCCACACUACAUAGUAUUACCGAAUAAUGGAUCAAGGCUGACUGUUUUCACCGGUUGCAUGGGUACGGCAGGGCCGGUUGCCGCGGGAGACAGAGACGGGAGUGGCAAGAGCCGGUCUGCUGCAGUUUAGCGCGCCUGCUUUCCCGCCAUCUGAGCCGGCUGCGAGGGAGGAGCUUUGGCACAAAGACAGCGUGGGAGGCUUUCCCGCCAAAUGCCUCGCAUGCAAAUGAGCACCGGUGGGAGGGGCUUGCAGCCGUUUGCAGCACUGUUAACCGUUUCAGUGCUGUCACCCAGAAUACACAAACCCCCCUUACAGAUGCAGACUGCUUACAUAAGCACAUAGUCCAACCUUAUGUUUCGUGUUAUGUAAGUCCAAGAAACUCGAUCCCACAUGUAUAUGUCCCCUCUGUGCACUUUUAAUUUAGGUAACAGAGGUGUGAGGUUUAUUGCUGUGCCAUGCAUGAAAAUGACUUUUCUUAUGAAUGGCCUCUGCUUACUUGGAGUUAUGAUGUUAAUAACACAUUGGUGUGGAAAGUUUGCAUGGUUUUAAUGACUGGUUAUAAGUUUAUGACUUUAACUAGACAGCUGGGUAUGGGUCUGAAUGCAUAUAUUAAUAAAUAUGCAUAUAAAAAUAUUUUAUUGUCUGAACUAAUAAAAAACACAUUUAUUAAAUGACAAGCAAUAUUGAAUAUAAAAUAGACAAAUGUCAUAGGUUUUUAUCUAUGCCUAAUGUCCUCACAAUAACAACUGUGCAUUGUUAAUGUUUUGAGUUGGAUACACAAUGCAACAGCUCUGUUGCGCUGGGCGUGAACCGGCCAGGUGAUGGCGGUUGGGAAAUAUAACCGCAGAUCUUUACAACCCUGUGCCAAGUUUUACACUGAACAAUAGAAAAAGGAUAUGCACACAACGACUUCAUCAUCAGUUACUUAAAUGCGUGUUAGAGAGUAUUUGGACAAAGCAGUUUGACCCAGCGCUGGUUAAACGACACCUCGACCCUGUCAUGGAAACCGACAGGUAACCGUCACCAGGCAGGACCUUCCCCUCCGGCUAGAGAAACUUACACUGUUCUUCCCUCUCUUUCUUCUGCUGGGGUGGGACGGCCUGCUCUGUGUUGAGCCGGUUUGUUUAGCUUGGCUGUACACCUGUCAACCGACCGGCAGCUCCUGAACUUACCUGGAAAAAUCCCAAAAAUACCGCCACCGGCAGAUCCUGGUCUGACAUGAGUCAUUGUGAUAUUGCA